GCGGGGAACUGCCGCGAAAUGGAAUGGAAGCCACCCAGGAGGACAGGGAAUAACACUUGGCGACAGCGGGGGAGAGAUUCUCUCCCUCGCGCGCAAUUUCUCUCCGCUGUCGUUGAGAAAAGGACGGGUCGCGUGCUGACUCCGUGGCGUCUCCUUCGGUGUGCCCCUUGCCCCUGGCCGCGGGGGUUUAGUCUCUUUCGGUUGUCCUGGCGUCGUAGUUCGCCUGGCGAGGCGGUUUUGGCGCGACAGAAUGGCGGAAGAGAGGAAAAAAGACCUCCGAACGAGAUGAAAGAAAAAAAAAAAAAGAGAGAGUAAUAGAGAGGGUCGCGAUGGAGGAGUUUUAGAGGAAUGCGGGAAUUAAGGCGGAGAGAGGAGGAAUUGUUACGGUACAGGAUGCAGUCGUACCGAGAAAUUCAUAUAUCGAGAUGUUUUCUUCUGAAAUUGUCCCAUAACAUACAGAGUGGUCCAACUCCCUUCAAAUUUCCUUCUUCUUACUUUUUAUAAAAAUCUCCACUUCGUUAUUUAUUAUAAUAACACAUGUCUAAAUUCUUAACUGUUUCAGUCCAGAGUACCAUCGGCCUCCAACCCUCAAAACGAGGCCACCGCCAAGCCUUAAGUGGGCCAGGUAAACGGGGAAGGACCGUGGAAGUUAUUACGGGAGCGACACUAGCGCCGCCCUCGCGAUGUCUGCUACUUAAUCCAGUUCUACAGGCAGCCACGUGUUCUGGCUUCUAGUUCGGUCGCACACGAUGUAUAGUAAAGAUUGGAUAAGUGCAAGACAGGAUUCACUGGAUGAAUGCAAGAUGACUCGGCGAGUGAGUAAUACGACACUAACCGAUUGAUACGCUUCUGACGACUACUUCCUUUCCUCUGAGCUCUUUCUGUUUAACUCUCUGUCCUUUUCUACGUAUGACUAGAGUCAAAUGUAAACACGGAAUAGAAACCUCGACUGGAUAACCGCAGUGUUUCGGUCACGACUUUUGUACAUUUUGUCUGACAACAUACAUUCAAAAAAACUUUCCUAACAUGGUGGUACACACUUCGUCGCAGAAACAAAAUCAUCUGAUUUAUUUGGAUGGACUCUUCAGUCACGGAAAUAUUGUUCAAUUUAUGAAUGUUGUAGUUUCAAGUAGAAAAUUCCGGAGCAACGUAAAUCGAACUCGCUAACGAAUCAACGUAUACAAAUUUAUCUUGAGCCCACAGGUGAGCAAAUGUAAACGCUCAACAAAUCAAAUAAUUUUAUUUCGAGUUGAGCGCGCUCUUAAUAUGGAAAAGGGGGAUCGAUCGUUCGUUGGGGAAAACAUCCUCGUAGAUUCCGAUAUUCGUGUCACAAAUUAACGUAAUUGAUGUUCAGAAAUUUACGCUUGUCGUUUCGCGACUGAAUUUAAACACGCAAUAAUAUUUUAUCGGCACGAACGAACCUGCCGUCGAAGAAAACAAAACGAGCCCCAUAGAAAUCUACGAAAGCUAGACAAACGACUGCGAAUGGUAUGGUUUAUCAUCGCCGAUGGCGAUAUUAUACGCGAAAUAUCGCGCGAACGAAUAGGAACCGUCGCUUUUGUCAUUUGUAUACUGAUUAAAUUAAAUGUACCCUCGAUUCGAGGCAAUUACAUUAACUUUGACCAAAAAUAGGUUCGCGACUGAACUGCGUUAUAAAUGGAGAAAUGGGACUCCAAAGUUAGGCUCCAAGUCUUUUACAGAGCUAACAUCGGAGGAUUUGAAAAUUUAACAAACGCCUCGUGCGAGAGUCACGUGGCCAGGUUCAUUAAGGGUGUCAACUGGAUUGCUUCACAAAAUUUUCCGAUGUUAGCUUGAAUCGAUAACUAAAUUAGACUUAGUUGCACUUCAUACAAUCCCCCUCUACCGAUAAACCACAACUUUUCUGCCAAAUUAAACUUGCAACCUUGAACUUGAACACCGUUCUUCGCCAGAAAUUUACUAAAAUCCACCUUUCUAAUCAACUCAUUCCUUAACAAAUCCCCUCCGUGAACCAAUUUUCACCACCAAUUUCACCCCCGUUCUUAUCUCGUCGCUGGCAAAAUUCUCACAACUCGAAAUAAGGUGGAUUCCGAUCCCAUCGAUGAUCGGAACGAUCCCGAGGCGAGUAGCCCCGAAUUAGCUUAAUCGACUCGCGUCGAUGGAUCGUUCGAUCCUUCUUCCGUGUCGUGUCUUUGUAGGAAAUUGGCUCCGGAUUCCCGAUGGUCUGAGAAGGACGCCCGGCGAUCCUAGUUGUUAAUGACUUGUCUACGUGCGGUGCUCGGUCCUCCCGGACCAGCUCUGCGUCGGUUGCAACCCGACUCACCGUGUAAUCACGCGCGGGGCGAACAGGAGAAGGAGCUGAUGCCAGCGAGGAAUAUUUCAGGCGCAACGACGCGGAAGAAAAUUACGCGGGCUUCUUCCGGUCCCCUCCGACGCGCGGGAGAUUUAAACGAGACGCGAGGACCGAUCGGGGGAGAAACUCGUUCGAAAAAGCGUCAUCGGUGCACUUUUUCGAAAUUACUUUCUUGGCCUCUAGUUUCUGGUUGACAGGCUGAAGAUACCGUUCUGAUGUACGGAGAAAUUAGCGAGUGGAAUUUUGCAUGGAAUUUUUGUAUUCUUUUAUUAUCAUUUUUAGCGAGUUGCAUGCUGAAGAUAGUCGAAGUCUAGGGUUUUGCUCAUCACUGGUUUGAUGUUUCCACUGUGUAUGAUAAUUCAAUUGCAACGUGUUCCAUUUUUAGUGGACCAAAAAGUGCACGUAACCCUGUUUAUUCUCACUCACUCACGAAUGCUAUCAGAAAACAAUUAAAAAUUUCGACGUCCUUCUGUUAAAAACUAACGCUUCCCCAUCGCUAUCGAGAAACUUCACGCCGCAGAAUCGAAUGUAAAAAGAGCAACAUUCCGGGAACCAAGGCGUGUGUAUCGUUCCUCGCGUCGGCUCCGUAGGAUUUAUCUUCAAGGUCCUGGGAGAUCUUGAAUUGCGAGAUGUUUGUUUCCUGCCGACGGAGAAACCUGGCUUCGGACGCGAAGGAAAAGCUGACACCG